UGGCGCUGUGACAGCCAUCAGAACAGAGAGACCUAGAUGGGAAGGGAGAAAUGUGGGGACAUGUUACGGAACAAAGAAAAGGAUCCUGGAACCUAACUGGUCAGGGAAGAAGAAGGAAGCCAAGCAUCUUCCGUCAGGGGAAAGGAUAGCGAAGGAAGGAAACUGGUAAAUACAGGUAGGGAUUUAUUUGGAACCAUUUUGAGAAAGGGAGUUCUCAAUGUCAUCCCAUCCUCCAUUCAUCCGUGUAUCCUUCAGUCCCAAUAUUCACAGAGGGCACUGGGGGCCCACAGCUGUGAACCAGUAACUCAGGCUGUAAUCCUUCAAUGCUCUCCUCUUUUGGCCUGGCUCAUCCUACUCACACCUUUGCUGAAACUCCUGCAGGGAAGCCUGCCUUGAUCCCUGGGAUUAGUAGGUCUUCCCACCCCCUCUACUCCCCUUUGGCUGGCCUCCCGCGAUGCCCUCAUGUGUGGGGGCUUCCCCUAUAAUCAAACUCUGAGCCUUUGCCUGGAAUGUCCUUUACUCCCCAACUUCACCUAGUAAAAUCCUACCCAUCUUGGAAGCUCACCCAAAAUGACAUGAAGUUAUUUUUAAUCAACCCAGGUAGAAGAGACUCCUCUCAAAAUCCCAGCCACAUUUUCUUCCUCUCACUCCCGGGACUCCAGCCACACGUAUUGUGGGUGUCUGCAUCACUGC